rnacentral:rRNA from 1 species
AUACGGAGGGUGCGAGCGUUGUUCGGAAUUAUUGGGCGUAAAAGCGCGUGUAGGCGGUUUGUUAAGUCUGAUGUGAAAGCCCUGGGCUCAACCCAGGAAGUGCAUUGGAAACUGGCAGACUUGAAUACGGGAGAGGGUAGUGGAAUUCCUAGUGUAGGAGUGAAAUCCGUAGAUAUUAGGAGGAACACCGGUGGCGAAGGCGGCUACCUGGACCGAUAUUGACGCUGAGACGCGAAAGCGUGGGUAGC